UACGGGGGGAGCAAGCGUUGUUCGGAUUUACUGGGCGUAAAGGGCGCGUAGGCGGUCAGCACAAGUCAGUUGUGAAAUCUCCGGGCUUAACUCGGAAAGGUCAACUGAUACUGUCGGACUAGAGUACAGAAGGGGCAACUGGAAUUCUCGGUGUAGCGGUGAAAUGCGUAGAUAUGCGGAGGAACACCGAUGGCGAAGGCAAUCCCCUGGGCCUGCACUGACGCUCAUGCACGAAAGCGUGGGGAGCAAACAGG
rnacentral:rRNA from 1 species